rnacentral:rRNA from 1 species
GAUGAACGCUGGCGGCGUGCUUAACACAUGCAAGUCGAACGAUGAAGCCCAGCUUGCUGGGUGGAUUAGUGGCGAACGGGUGAGUAACACGUGAGUAACCUGCCCUUGACUCUGGGAUAAGCCUGGGAAACUGGGUCUAAUACUGGAUAUGACUUCUCAUCGCAUGGUGGGGGGUGGAAAGAUUUAUUGAUCUUGGAUGGACUCGCGGCCUAUCAGCUUGUUGGUGAGGUAAUGGCUCACCAAGGCGACGACGGGUAGCCGGCCUGAGAGGGUGACCGGCCACACUGGGACUGAGACACGGCCCAGACUCCUACGGGAGGCAGCAGUGGGGAAUAUUGCACAAUGGGCGCAAGCCUGAUGCAGCGACGCCGCGUGAGGGAUGACGGCCUUCGGGUUGUAAACCUCUUUCAGUAGGGAAGAAGCGAGAGUGACGGUACCUGCAGAAGAAGCGCCGGCUAACUACGUG